GACGAACGCUGGCGGCGUGCUUAACACAUGCAAGUCGAACGGAAAGGCCCUGCUUUUGUGGGGUGCUCGAGUGGCGAACGGGUGAGUAACACGUGAGUAACCUGCCCUUGACUUUGUGAUAACUUCAGGAAACUGGGGCUAAUACCGGAUAGGAGCUCCUGCUGCAUGGUGGGGGUUGGAAAGUUUCGGCGGUUGGGGAUAGACUCGCGGCUUAUCAGCUUGUUGGUGGGGUAGUGUCUUACCAAGGUUUUGACGGGUAGGCGACCUGAGAGGGUGACCGGCCACAUUGGGACUGAGAUACGGCCCAGACUCCUACGGGGGGCAGCAGUGGGGAAUAUUGCACAAUGGGCGGAAGCCUGAUGCAGCAACGCCGCGUGCGGGAUGACGGCCUUCGGGUUGUAAACCGCUUUCUCCUGUGACGAAGCGUGAUUGACGGUAAUGAGUAAAGAAGCACCGGCUAACUACGUG
rnacentral:rRNA from 1 species